rnacentral:rRNA from 1 species
AAUCAACGCUGGCGGCGCGCCUAACACAUGCAAGUCGAACGAGAACGGCUUCAGCAAUGGGGCCUAGUACAGUGGCGAACGGGUGAGUAACACGUGGGUGAUCUACCCUCAAGUGGGGGAUAACCCGGGGAAACCUGGGCUAAUACCGCAUAAUAUCCGCAAGGAUCAAAGGAGUAAUUCGCUGGAGGAUGAGCCCGCGGCCGAUUAGCUAGUUGGCGGGGUAACGGCCCGCCAAGGCUCUGAUCGGUAGCCGGUCUGAGAGGACGCACGGCCACACUGGAACUGAAACACGGUCCAGACUCCUACGGGAGGCAGCAGUGGGGAAUCUUGCACAAUGGGGGAAACCCUGAUGCAGCGACGCCGCGUGGGUGAUGAAGCUCUUCGGAGUGUAAAGCCCUUUCGGCAGGGAAGAGUAAAGACGGUACCUGCAAAAGAAGCCCCGGCUAACUACGUGCCAGCCGCCGCCGUAACAC